rnacentral:rRNA from 1 species
UUCGCAAUGCCCGAAAGGGUGACGAAGCGACGCCGCGUGCGGGAAGAAGGCCUUCGGGUUGUAAACCGCUGUCGGGAGUUAGGAAAUGCAAGGAUGUUAAUAGCGUCUUUGCUUGACUAAGGCUCCGGAGGAAGCCACGGCUAACUCUGUGCCAGCAGCCGCGGUAAUACAGAGGCGGCAAGCGUUGUUCGGAAUUAUUGGGCGUAAAGAGCACGUAGGCGGCCCUGCAAGUCAGUUGUGAAAGCCUUCCGCUUAACGGGAGAACGGCAGCUGAAACUACGGGGCUAGAGUACGGGAGGGGAGAGUGGAACUUCUGGUGGAGCGGUGAAAUGCGUAGAUAUCAGAAGGAACGCCGGCGGCGAAAGCGACUCUCUGGACCGAAACUGACGCUGAGUGUGCGAAAGCUAGGGGAGCAAACAGGAUUAGAUACCCCGGUAGUCCUAGCCGUAAACGAUGGGCACUAAGUAGAGGGGUUUU